rnacentral:lncRNA from 1 species
UGUGCUUGAAAUUUAACAAGUAGUUAGGGAAGGAAAUUCAAAAUAGGCAAACCAAACUUAAAGUAACCAAACAAUUAGGCAAUAAACAAGAUAUCACGAGAACUCAAUAAGAAAAGUGAAAUGCGUUAGAAGAGUAUGGCUGAAAUUCACCAUUGGGUGAACCUCGCCUAUGGGUGGAUGAAAGCCCUUUCAAACGUGGUUGGGAUGCAUGCCUUUGAUUGGGUCACCUGGCUAAGUAAUGUUGUGACUAGUUCGUGUAGUGACCCUGCCCAUGAGGUAGUGAGGAUUAAGUGGUACUUGUUCUGCUAGACACAUCAUUUUGCAUAGAGGAU